rnacentral:rRNA from 1 species
UACGGGGGGGGCAAGCGUUGUUCGGAAUUACUGGGCGUAAAGGGCUCGUAGGUGGCCAACUAAGUCAGACGUGAAAUCCCUCGGCUUAACCGGGGAACUGCGUCUGAUACUGGAUGGCUUGAGUUUGGGAGAGGGACGCGGAAUUCCAGGUGUAGCGGUGAAAUGCGUAGAUAUCUGGAGGAACACCGGUGGCGAAGGCGGUUCUCUGGGCAUGUCCUGACGCUGAGGAGCGAAAGUGUGGGGAGCGAACAGG